rnacentral:rRNA from 1 species
AACGAACGCUGGCGGCAUGCCUAACACAUGGAAGUCGAACGAAGCCUUCGGGCUUAGUGGCGCACGGGUGCGUAACGCGUGGGAAUCUGCCCUUUGGUUCGGAAUAACAGUUGGAAACGACUGCUAAUACCGGAUGAUGACGAAAGUCCAAAGAUUUAUUGCCAGAGGAUGAGCCCGCGUAGGAUUAGCUAGUUGGUGUGGGAAAGGCGCACCAAGGCGACGAUCCUUAGCUGGUCUGAGAGGAUGAUCAGCCACACUGGGACGGAGGCACGGCCCAGACUCCAGCGGGAGGCCACAGUGGGUAAUAUUGGAGAAUGGCCCAAAGCCUGAGCCAGCCAUGCCCCGUGAGUGAUGAAGAACCUUGGGUUGCAAAGCUAUUUUACCCGGGAUGAUAAUGACAGUACCGGGAGAAUAAGCCCCGGCUAACUCCGUGCCAGCCGCCGCGGUAA